rnacentral:rRNA from 1 species
GACGAACGCUGGUGGCGUGCCUAAUACAUGCAAGUCGAGCGGACCAAUAGAAGCUUGCUUCUGUUGGUUAGCGGCGGACGGGUGAGUAACACGUGGGCAACCUGCCUGUAAGGCUGGGAUAACUUCGGGAAACCGGAGCUAAUACCGGAUAAUUCAUCCCCUCGCAUGAGGGGAUGCUGAAAGUCGGUUUACGCUGACACUUACAGAUGGGCCCGCGGCGCAUUAGCUAGUUGGUGAGGUAAUGGCUCACCAAGGCGACGAUGCGGAGCCGACCUGAGGGGGGGAUGAGCCAACCGGGGCCUGAGCACCGGCCAAGACUCCUACGGGAGGCAGCAGUAGGGAAUCUUCCACAAUGGACGAAAGUCUGAUGGAGCAACGCCGCGUGAGCGAUGAAGGCCUUCGGGUCGUAAAGCUCUGUUGUUAGGGAAGAACAAGUAUCGGAGUAACUGCCGGUACCUUGACGGUACCUAACCAGAAAGCCACGGCUAACUACGUGCCAGCCGCCGCCGUAA